AACGAACGCUGGCGGCAGGCUUAACACAUGCAAGUCGAACGCUCGUAGCAAUACGGGAGUGGCGGACGGGUGAGUAACGCGUGGGAACGUGCCCUGAGGUACGGAAUAACUGGGGGAAACUUCAGCUAAUACCGUAUGAGCCCCGAGAGGGGGAAAGAUUUAUCGCCUUGGGAGCGGCCCGCGUCGGAUUAGCUAGUUGGUGGGGUAACGGCCUACCAAGGCUUCGAUCCGUAGCUGGUCUGAGAGGACGAUCAGCCACACUGGGACUGAGACACGGCCCAGACUCCUACGGGAGGCAGCAGUGGGGAAUCUUGCGCAAUGGGGGCAACCCUGACGCAGCCAUGCCGCGUGAACGAUGAAGGCCUUAGGGUUGUAAAGUUCUUUACCCGUGACGAUGAUGACGGUAACGGGGGAAUAAGCUCCGGCUAACUUCGUG
rnacentral:rRNA from 1 species